UAUUGGGUUGGGGGGAGGGGAGGCCAGUGGGUCCCAGCAAACCACUGUGCCUUCCCAGCUCUGCUCAUGCACAGAGAAAACACAAUGUUGCUCUAUCUGUGCAAUGGGAAGUGGGCAGGCAGAUGGAGACUGGGGUCAGGCCACUGAGGGCCAGCAGGCGCCCAGCUCACCUAUAGUCAGCCAGGCCUUGCCAUUCCGUCUCUGCAGGAGGUAAAAGGCGAAGAAAUUUAGAAGUCUCUGAAACAAGAGCUGGAUGCAAUCAGCCUGAUGAUUGAUCUACAACUUCCCUUUCAGAACCAUCUAGCAAGGCAACUAAGCGAACAGAGUCUCCACAGGUUAUACUGUGGGUGAGGUGACAUCAGGGCCAACGAGAGGACCAGACAGGAGGACCAGACAGGACCAGGGAAGAGCUGGAAGUGCCUCCAUGCUGUCAUAUCCUAAACCGAACCUACCUCACUCAAUACGUGCUACUGCAGAAGCCAGCGCAAUACCACCUGAGGCCUCCGAGCAUUACUCCUGCAGGUAUCCAGCCCACCCAGCCAACAGCUGCUCAACUGCAACUCCUAGUCCCUCUGUCCAUAAUUCACAGCUUUUCCAUAACACCACUGAGCCAAGCCUCCAAUAGAUAAAGUCCAGAGUCAAUCAAAAGAUCUCUGCAUUCUAUCCCUGGAGUUGGACACUCCCAUAAAAAAUAAAAACUCAUUCAAAUGUUAAAUUUUCUCACAGUUUUCUAAGGACUUCUGAAGAAAGACACUAGAAUUUUUUAUAUAUUUUCAUGAAAUAUAAAAUUUUUCAAGGAUAACUUUUAAAGAAAAACUUUAAGAGACUUAGUCUGAUCCUGAAAAAUCUAAACUAUCUUACUCAAAAUUAUCUGACUUCUACUGAGAAAGGAGAAUCCAUGGGGAGCAGAGGACAGUAAAGCAAAUUCACGAGGAAUCCUUACAGCUAUCUAUCCUCCCUAAAAUCCUGUCAGUGAGGUGGUGUUAUCUCCAUUGCCCAGACAGGACACUGAAGUUUAAGGAGAAGAGGUGACUAAGUCCACCAACUAGAAAAUGUCAAGGCUGGACUCAAAGGUUAAAAUGUCUGAUUUCAAAGAUCAUUAAGGUGCAAAGCAUCACAGCCAGCAACAGACUCAGCCCUGGAAGGGGGUCCUCCACCCACUCACUGAAUGUCCAAGACAACCCAAUAGAAUAGUAUUUGCAAACUGCGCAUUUUCUUGGCUGAUAUUUCCAAAGUUUGCACCAUUUACCCUCCAGCGUGCCAACAACUUUUUCAUUGAAUCCACGCAAAAGCCUGGUGUUCUGAGUCAUGCUCAACUCAAAUCUAUUUACCAAACUCCCAGAGACUUUUUAAAAUAAUUUCACUGGUGUUACAACAAUGAGAAAACGAGUUAGGAGAAGGACCUGCUGGGACGGCAGCUGGAAAGUGUCCUGAGCAAUUACAGACCAGCAGCCUCUCUCCCUAUUUCAUUUUUAGAAUCACAGCAGAUUCACAGUUUGGUGGAGAAAUAUCAGAGAACUCGUGGAAAAUCACCAGUGGGUUAAUGAGAAUGUCUCCACAUUCCAUGUGUUUUGUAACUCAUGGUGCCUCAUACCUGUUGCCACACCUGUUAGAGCACAGCUCUGCUCCCAUAUAACGCCAUGUGAAAAAAGGUGAAGCUGGUUUUAUUUAUUAGAACAGGAAGGUUUUGCUCUUUAUCUAAUCAAAUCAUAUAAACGGCUUUGCCUGGUCAUUUUUUCAAUAAUAUUGUUCCCUUAGUUUUCAACUGACAAUGAAGAUCUCUGAUGAUAAAGUAGACAUAACUACUACUCAACAAUCUCCAGACUCCUCUUCCAUCAUGAAGAUUGUUCUCUACACUCUUUGGAUUGCUCUAGGCCAGAUAAUCUGGAUUGGCCAAUGAAAUGUGUGCUGACAGAAAGUAUGCCACUUCUGGCCAGGGUACUUAAUCAUACUUGAUCAAAUUUCCAACUCUGUGUCUUCCCCCUGCUGCAGGGAUCAAGGGGGUGUAUGUUGAUAUGGAAUUGCCAUGAGAGUUCAUUAGCCUGGAAUGCUGAGUUGGCACAUGCAUGUCAGCUCCCUAGAGAGUCAUAUAAAACCACAGUAGCCACACCAUGAGCAAGAAAUAAACUGUGUGUGUGUGUGUGUGUGUGUGUGUGUGUGUGUAGCUACUGAAAUGAACAGAUUGUAUAUUUGCUGCAGCAUAAACCA